rnacentral:rRNA from 1 species
AGGGAAUUUUCCACAAUGGACGAAAGUCUGAUGGAGCAACGCCGCGUGCAGGAUGAAGGCCCUUGGGUUGUAAACUGCUUUUAUGUGCGAAGAUUAUGACAGUAACACAUGAAUAAGGGUCGGCUAACUACGUGCCAGCAGCCGCGGUCAUACGUAGGACCCAAGCGUUAUCCGGAAUUACUGGGCGUAAAGAGUUGCGUAGGUGGCAUAGUAAGUAAGAAGUGAAAGCGUUCGGCUCAACCGAAUAUACAUUUCUUAAACUGCUAAGCUAGAGAACGAGAGAGGUAGAUGGAAUUCCCAGUGUAGGAGUGAAAUCCGUAGAUAUUGGGAGGAACACCGAUGGCGUAGGCAGUCUACUGGCUCGUUUCUGACACUAAGGCACGAAAGCGUGGGGAGCAAAC